CCUACGGGAGCAGCAGUGGGGAAUAUUGGACAAUGGGCGCAAGCCUGAUCCAGCCAUGCCGCGUGUGUGAAGAAGGCCUUCGGGUUGUAAAGCACUUUUAUCCGGAAAGAAAAAGCUUUGGGUUAAUACCCUGAAGUCAUGACGGUACCGGAAGAAUAAGCACCGGCUAACUUCGUGCCAGCAGCCGCGGUAAUACGAAGGGUGCAAGCGUUACUCGGAAUUACUGGGCGUAAAGCGUGCGUAGGUGGUUUGUUAAGUCUGAUGUGAAAGCCCUAGGCUCAACCUGGGAAUUGCAUUGGAUACUGGCAGGCUAGAGUGCGGUAGAGGAUAGUGGAAUUCCCGGUGUAGCAGUGAAAUGCGUAGAGAUCGGGAGGAACAUCUGUGGCGAAGGCGACUAUCUGGGCCAGCACUGACACUGAGGCACGAAAGCGUGGGGAGCAAACAGGAUUAGAUACCCUGGUAGUCCACGCCCUAAACGAUGCGAACUGGAUGUUGGGUGCAACUAGGCACUCAGUAUCGAAGCUAACGCGUUAAGUUCGCCGCCGUGGGGNGGUUAGGUUCGUCGAGAGUAGAACGACGAAGGAAGUUAGACGGCGNGAGACGNGCGACGGACGACGACGAGGGAGGAGG
rnacentral:rRNA from 1 species